GAUGAACGCUGGCGGCGUGCCUAAUACAUGCAAGUCGAGCGAACAGACGAGGAGCUUGCUCCUCUGACGUUAGCGGCGGACGGGUGAGUAACACGUGGAUAACCUACCUAUAAGACUGGGAUAACUUCGGGAAACCGGAGCUAAUACCGGAUAAUAUAUUGAACCGCAUGGUUCAAUAGUGAAAGACGGUUUUGCUGUCACUUAUAGAUGGUUCCGCGCCGCAUUAGCUAGUUGGUAAGGUAACGGCUUACCAAGGCAACGAUGCGUAGCCGACCUGAGAGAGUGAUCGGACACGCUGGAACUGGGACACGGUCCAGACUCCUACGGGGGGCAGCAGUAGGGAAUCUUGCGAAAUGGGCGAAGGCCUGACGGAGCAACGCCGCGUGGGUGAUGGAGGUCUUGGGAUCGGAAAGCUCUGUUAUUAGGGAAGAACAAAUGUGUAAGUAACUGUGGACGUCUUGACGGUACCUAAUCAGAAAGCCACGGCUAACUACGUG
rnacentral:rRNA from 1 species